GACGAACGCUGSCGGCGUGCCUAAUACAUGCAAGUCGAACGAACUCUGGUAUUGAUUGGUGCUUGCAUCAUGAUUUACAUUUGAGUGAGUGGCGAACUGGUGAGUAACACGUGGGAAACCUGCCCAGAAGCGGGGGAUAACACCUGGAAACAGAUGCUAAUACCGCAUAACAACUUGGACCGCAUGGUCCGAGCUUGAAAGAUGGCUUCGGCUAUCACUUUUGGAUGGUCCCGCGGCGUAUUAGCUAGAUGGUGGGGUAACGGCUCACCAUGGCAAUGAUACGUAGCCGACCUGAGAGGGUAAUCGGCCACAUUGGGACUGAGACACGGCCCAAACUCCUACGGGAGGCAGCAGUAGGGAAUCUUCCACAAUGGACGAAAGUCUGAUGGAGCAACGCCGCGUGAGUGAAGAAGGGUUUCGGCUCGUAAAACUCUGUUGUUAAAGAACAGAAUAUCUGAGAGUAACUGUUCAGGUAUUGACGGUAUUUAACCAGAAAGCCACGGCUAACUACGUGCCAGCAGCCGCGGUAAUACGUAGGUGGCAAGCGUUGUCCGGAUUUAUUGGGCGUAAAGCGAGCGCAGGCGGUUUUUUAAGUCUGAUGUGAAAGCCUUCGGCUCAACCGAAGAAGUGCAUCGGAAACUGGGAAACUUGAGUGCAGAAGAGGACAGUGGAACUCCAUGUGUAGCGGUGAAAUGCGUAGAUAUAUGGAAGAACACCAGUGGCGAAGGCGGCUGUCUGGUCUGUAACUGACGCUGAGGCUCGAAAGGGGUAGUAUCAAACAGGAUUAGAUACCCUGGUAGUCCAUACCGUAAACGAUGAAUGCUAAGUGUUGGAGGGUUUCCGCCCUUCAGUGCUGCAGCUAACGCAUUAAGCAUUCCGCCUGGGGAGUACGGCCGCAAGGCUGAAACUCAAAGGAAUUGACGGGGGCCACCGCAAGCGGUGGAGCAUGUGGUUUAAUUCGAAGCUACGCGAAGAACCUUACCAGGUCUUGACAUACUAUGCAAAUCUAAGAGAUUAGACGUUCCCUUCGGGGACAUGGAUACAGGUGGUGCAUGGUUGUCGUCAGCUCGUGUCGUGAGAUGUUGGGUUAAGUCCCGCAACGAGCGCAACCCUUAUUAUCAGUUGCCAGCAUUAAGUUGGGCACUCUGGUGAGACUGCCGGUGACAAACCGGAGGAAGGUGGGGAUGACGUCAAAUCAUCAUGCCCCUUAUGACCUGGGCUACACACGUGCUACAAUGGAUGGUACAACGAGUUGCGAACUCGCGAGAGUAAGCUAAUCUCUUAAAGCCAUUCUCAGUUCGGAUUGUAGGCUGCAACUCGCCUACAUGAAGUCGGAAUCGCUAGUAAUCGCGGAUCAGCAUGCCGCGGUGAAUACGUUCCCGGGCCUUGUACACACCGCCCGUCACACCAUGAGAGUUUGUAACACCCAAAGUCGGUGGGGUAACCUUUUAGGAACCAGCCUAAGGUGGGACAGAUUAGGGUGAAGUCGUAACAAGCCGUAGGGAGAAC
rnacentral:rRNA from 2 species